AUUUUGGAGUGCUUUUACAUUCUUCUUGUCUAAUAAUGUACAUAAAUAUGAUAUUUAUUGGUUCAGAUCCGCCUUCUUUUGGCUAUCAAUUAAGACAUAGGAGAGGAAAAUCAGAAACUACUCGUGCUCAGUACAUAAACACAAAGGAUGUGAGGCUGACAAUAAGCACUUGGAAUGUUGCUGGAAGAGUUCCGGAUGAAAACCUUGAUAUUGAUGAUUGGAUUUCUUCAUAAGAGCCAUCGGACAUCUACAUUUUCGGGUGAAAACAGAAGAACAAAUGGGAUAUAAGUAUGGCGAGGCUUGCUUUCGUUUAUGUUUCUAGUAUUAUGUACCAUUUAGACUUAAAUUUUUGUUUUAUUUCGACAUGUUAUGCAUAGAAAUACUUGGGAUGUUGUUAUGUACUUUGAGUAUCAAUAUUAAUCAAAAUUUAUUUACUUA